CGCACAGAACAGUGUUCGGGCCGGGUCUGGAUCUGAGCUCAGGAACGCGGGGCAGGGCUGGGGGCAGCUCGGUGACGCGACCCAGGGACUCAAACGGGACGCCGGCCGGAGACACAGAUCCGGCAGCAAACCCCACGUGGUGCGCCUCUGAGCCUCCGCCCCUCUCCCGAGGCUACGGCAACUCUACUUCUCGCGAGAAUUGCUUCUAUGGCUCCAUCCUGCUUUCCGGCUGUCGCCCUCCUGCGAUAGGUUCUCAGCGUUACUUGCCUCUUCUCGCGAUAAUUUUUUUUUUUUUUAAAUCUCCCGAGGAAAGUUGAAGGAAGAGAACAAAAUUUUCAUCUCGCGAGACUUGUGAGCGGCCAUCUUGCUCCUGCCCUGACAGAUUCUCCUAUCGGGGUCACAGGGACGCUAAGAUUGCUACCUGGACCUUCGUUGACCAUGCUGUCCCGGGUGGUACUUUCCGCCGCCGCCACAGCGGCCCCCUCUCUGAAGAAUGCAGCCUUCCUAGGUCCAGGGGUAUUGCAGGCAACAAGGACUUUUCAUACAGGGCCGCCACACCUUGCGCCUGUACCACCUCUUCCUGAAUAUGGAGGAAAAGUUCGUUAUGGACUGAUCCCUGAGGAAUUCUUCCAGUUUCUUUAUCCUAAAACUGGUGUAACAGGACCCUAUGUACUCGGAACUGGGCUUAUCUUGUACGCUUUAUCCAAAGAAAUAUAUGUGA
rnacentral:sRNA from 1 species